GACAUUAUGCCAGAAAAAUGGGUUGCUUUGAUGUAGUAAAAUAUGGGGUUUUCCUCUAAUGUUA
rnacentral:tRNA from 1 species